GGUCAAGCGAAUAAGUGCAUGAGGUGGAUGCCUUGGCGAUUACAGGCGAUGAAGGACGUGGUAGCCUGCGAUAAUCUGUGGGGAGCUGGCAAACAAGCUUUGAUCCACAGGUCUCCGAAUGGGGAAACCCAGCCCGUAAGGGUUAUCCUGGUCUGAAUUCAUAGGACCAGAGAAGCGAACCCGCUGAACUGAAACAUCUAAGUAGGCGGAGGAAAAGAAAUCAACCGAGAUUCCGGAAGUAGCGGCGAGCGAAACCGGACCAGCCAGUGUGAUUUAGCAGCUGUUCUAGCAAAACGGUAUGGAAAGGCCGACCAUAGUGGGUGAUAGUCCCGUAUGCGAAAGAUCAGUUGUGGAACUAGGUACACGAAAAGUAGGGCGGGACACGUGGAAUCCUGUCUGAAGAUGGGGGGACCAUCCUCCAAGGCUAAAUACUCGUAAUCGACCGAUAGUGAACCAGUACCGUGAGGGAAAGGCGAAAAGAACCCCGGGAGGGGAGUGAAAUAGAUCCUGAAACCGCAUGCAUACAAACAGUAGGAGCCUCUGCUUCAAGAGUAUUUUUAUUGAGUGCUUUUGAAGCAGGGGUGACUGCGUACCUUUUGUAUAAUGGGUCAGCGACUUACAUUUACUGGCAAGCUUAACCUUGUAGGGGAGGCGUAGGGAAACCGAGUCCGAAUAGGGCGAUUCAGUCGGUAGGUGUAGACCCGAAAGCGGAUGAUCUACCCAUGGCCAGGUUGAAGCGAGGGUAACACCUCGUGGAGGACCGAACCAACUAACGUUGAAAAGUUAGUGGAUGAGCUGUGGGUAGGGGUGAAAGGCUAAACAAAUCCGCAAAUAGCUGGUUCUCUCCGAAAACUAUUUAGGUAGUGCCUCGUGUUACACCUUCGGGGGUAGAGCACUGUUUUGGCUAGGGGGUCGUUAUAGAUCUACCAAACCAAGGCAAACUCCGAAUACCGAAGAGUGCAUUCACGGGAGACAGUGCACCGGGUGCUAACGUCCGGACACAAGAGGGAAACAACCCAGACCGCCAGCUAAGGUCCCGAAUUAUGACUAAGUGGUCAACGAAGUGAGAAGGCCCAGACAGCCAGGAGGUUGGCUUAGAAGCAGCCACCCUUUAAAGAAAGCGUAAUAGCUCACUGGUCGAGUCGUCUUGCGCGGAAGAUGUACCGGGGCUCAAGUCAUAAACCGAAGCUGCGGAUUCAAACAUCUUUGAUGUUUGAGUGGUAGGAGAGCGUUCCGUACGCCUGUGAAGGUGGAUCGUAAGGUCUGCUGGAGGUAUCGGAAGUGCGAAUGCUGACAUGAGUAGCGAUAAAGGGGGUGAAAAGCCCCCUCGCCGAAAGCCCAAGGUUUCCUGCGCAACGUUCAUCGGCGCAGGGUGAGUCGGCCCCUAAGGUGAGGGCGAAAGCCGUAGCUGAUGGGAAUCUGGUUAAUAUUCCAGAACCGCCAUGUAAUGCGAUGGGGUGACGGAGAAGGUUAGGCAAUCCGGGUGUUGGAUGUCCCGGUGAAGUGUGUAGGCGGAGCUCUUAGGCAAAUCCGGGAGCUCAACGCUGAGGCACGGGACCAGCGAAGCUUGUCUUCGCGAAGUUGCUGAUACCAUGCUUCCAAGAAAAGCCUCUAAGCUUCAGUUACAUGGGACCGUACCGUAAACGGACACACGUGGGCGGGAUGAAAAUUCUAAGGCGCUUGAGAGAACUCUGGAGAAGGAACUCGGCAAAUUGACACCGUAACUUCGGAAGAAGGUGUGCCCUGUUAGGGUGAAGGGACUUGCUCCCCGAGCUUGAGAGGGUUGCAGAGAAUCGGUGGCUGCGACUGUUUAUUAAAAACAUAGCACUGUGCUAACACGAAGAGUGGACGUAUACGGUGUGACGCCUGCCCGGUGCCGGAAGGUUAAUUGAUGGGGUUAGCUUCGGCGAA
rnacentral:rRNA from 1 species